AGGAAUUGUAAUGUUGAAGUGGCAACCAAAUCCCCGCCACAUCUCACUGAAAUUGUCACUUGAAAGUUAUAACUCAGAAAACAAUUAAAAAUGCCGCUUACAAGUUACCAGCUGCGUCUGUCUGGAUUGAGUUCGAAGCCUGACUGACAUUGGCAAGUGAACGAGCCAGGUGUGUUGAUGCAGUCACCUCCCUCACUAGUUUUGCAUAUGUCCCAACUUGUACAUUCAUCAAUAUCUGUAACAAUGUAUUGCAAUAACUAUAAUUAAUUGCGUGAA